GAAGUGCGAUAAGCAGUGCGAAUUGCAGAACCGUGAGUCAUCAGAUCUUUGAACGCAAAUGGCGCUAGUUGGUUACCCAGCUAGCAUGCUUGUUUCAGUGUCUUGUUUUCUCCUCACCCAAAACUUAAUGCGAGAGAUACCCUUCUCUUGUCAAGCAUGAAAGCACUCUUCUUCUGCGAGCGGCUCUUGACUAGCUCAAGGGUCGCACUCGAUGCAGACGUCACAUUUUACAAUGUGAACUCAUUGAGAGCAGAAGCAGUCAGCUAACGCUGUCAGUGCUUAGCCACUUAAACUUUAUUUGCAUCUGAAAUCAAGCAGGAUCACCCGCUGAACUUAA
rnacentral:misc_RNA from 1 species